GAUGAAGAACGUAGCGAAAUGCGAUAAGUAAUGUGAAUUGCAGAAUUCAGUGAAUCAUCGAAUCUUUGAACGCACAUUGCGCCCGCCAGUAUUCUGGUGGGCAUGCCUGUCCGAGCGUCAUUUCAACCCUCGAACCCCUCCGGGGGGUCGGCGUUGGGGAUCGGCCCUCCCUUAGCGGGUGGCCGUCUCCGAAAUACAGUGGCGGUCUCGCCGCAGCCUCUCCUGCGCAGUAGUUUGCACACUCGCAUCGGGAGCGCGGCGCGUCCACAGCCGUUAAACACCCAACUUCUGAAAUGUUGACCUCGGAUCAGGUAGGAAUACCCGCUGAACUUAAGCAUAUCAAUAAGCGGAGGA
rnacentral:misc_RNA from 1 species